rnacentral:lncRNA from 7 species
AUUGCCUGACUGAUCUUCUGGAGCCUUCUCAACAGCUCCUCAUCUUCCCUCUACCAGAACUUCUCCCUGCUUACCCCUCUGAUAUUUUCUAUGAUGUCAUCUCCGGCUGCAGGUAGUGGGACUUUAUUUUCACAUCCUGUCACCUUCAAAAAGAGUGGAGUUGCCUGGAUUACAGAUGCUGUGUGUGGAAAGAUGGUAAAUCACACAGAAACUCUGCAGGAUCCCAGGUGUGAGUGAGCUACAUAAAACUAGUUCCUCUUCACAAAAAGCGUCAUAUCUACAAGUGAAUAUCUGCUUUUAGGACAUGUGCCUUAGCGGGGAAACCACCCAAGGUGGUGGCUAAGGCCCCAGGAGGGCUGUCCUUUCCUCAAAGAUAGCGGCUGGAGCAUCCCGACUCUUGAGCACAAGGCAAUUCCUGGAGAACACAUUUUGCAACUCUGAUGAUCAAGAAAUUCAGCUGGGGUCUAUUCCCAUUUUUCAAAAGGUCCACUGAGAUGUGGAUUCUAUAUUUCUGCAGAUAUAUGUGGUAGUACUGGAAUUUUGACUCCUUACAUACACUGUGUAUCAUUAAUGUCUUUCACGAAAAAUGUGUCAAGAAAGAGUGUAGAAGAAAACAGAUGAACCAGCCUGAGUUACUUCAUGGCCUAUCCAAGGCUUCAUCUCAAAGUCAAAUUGCAGCAAUUCCCAAAGUCAGCUGAGUAAAUUUCAGUGGGUUCAGCAUAUUCACCAUGAAUAUCAGAACUGCUGGAUUCUUGUGUCUCCUCAUGGACUGCAUUUGACAAUGCAAAAACAACAACAACAACAACAACAAAACAAACAAACAAACAAACAAAAAAUCAACAGAAGUUUUUCCUGCCUCUUACAUUUCUUCUCCCGUUUCUCUCAUAUCUACAAAUAUGUGAAUGCAGACUGAAGAUUUGCCCUCAGAUGAGACACUUCUUGGAUCUCUCUCCUUUGGCCACUGUUUUCAUAACAAAUAUUCUACUUCUGCUCAAUUCCAAGGCUAUUUUUUCUCUUUAUCCAUCUGCUUUUUCUACUGUCAGGAGUAGAAGACGUCAGGAACUUACUUUGCGGUACCACACAUUUGAAUUGCUGACUUUGCAGUGAUAGUACUUGUGAGAUUUGUAGAUCAGUUUUAUGCAGUCAUUAAGUUGAUUGCUGUGAAAGUUUCUGACCAUUUGAAUCUUCACCAAAAGCAACCUCAAGCCCAUUACUCAUUAACUGCAUUUGCUUUAUAGCACCUAUAGCUAGGAAGCAACAAUGAAGUAUACUGGGAAUUUGAGUUCAUUCCUCUUGCAAAAGACACUGGAACAACUUUAUCCUGCUACAUAAGGCCUGUCCCUUCAUAUACUCUAUCAGAACUGAAAUAAACCCAGAAUGUGCCAUGCACUUUCCACAUAAGAAUGGGACGUCCCUUAGCGUUAGAACAAGGAUUCUAACCAGCCACAAAAAGUUUUCUAUAUUUAGAAAAGACACUUCCAGACCUGAGGGCUUUUUUGAAGAAGUCUGUCUUGGAAAAUCGUGGAGAGUCUGCAGGAGAUAUGGGGAACCUUUUUGGGUUUUUUUUGGCUUGCUGUUAAGCUGGGUCUAUCUUAAGGCACCCAUUAGAAUUUGAUAGGGCAGAUGAAUGAGCAUGCUGCUAGAACACCUGAAUAGGGAAUAUUAGUGAGAUAGCUUAGCAGGAGCGUGGAUGAGAAAGAGACCAGGUCACAGUGACAGGGGUGGUAACACUACUGAGUUUCCUGAACAAGAAAUAAAGCUUAUGUGUCAAGGUCUGCAUGGUUUUAAACACUCUGAUUGUAUGGAACACUUCUUUUUUUUCCUUCAGCUGUUUUAAUGGCUCUAUUAGCACUUGCCAAAUUUUGAAUAUUGUUCAUUUACAAUAUUUGCAACCCACCCCCCUGACUCUUUUACAGCUAGUCUAAUACAUGCCGUGUGUGUAUAAUUGCCCAUUAUUCCAUUGAAAUUACAGGCAAUCACAUCAUGUGCAUUAUUUUAAAUGUAUUGUCAUCACAUGUGCCAUAAAUUAUCAGCUUUGGAACUACUAGCUGCAUGCUUCAGCAACAGCGGGAUUACAGGCUGAAUACGAUGUGGAAUAUGACAUAAAUAUUCAUGCAGAGACUGUACUCAUGUUCAUGAAGCAUUUUCAGACUUGAGGACUUCAUCAGUUGCCAGCAUUUCUCAGAGAUGGGAACUACACAGAUAACUCCCUGGACAAUUAAUUAUUCAUUCAUUUUGCAUAAGGAAAAAACAGUCUUCAGGCUUAGUUUCAUCCAUUGUUUAAAAUGCAUGCAGAAAAAGCCUUUCCUUCUGAAGGAGGUGAAUAGCAGAUGAGAAGCUUCCUGGAAGACUGUGCAUCGUUUCUACCCACACUGAAUUGUGUGGGUUAAAAAAGGUUUGUAUCAGCAAUGGGGGACAGCCACCAAAGCAGAAUUGUCAGCCCUCUGCUCUUUGUGGUUGUUGUCCAAAGGUGGCUUUGGUAGAAAUAUGACAAAUAAAAUGAAGAUAGAU